rnacentral:rRNA from 1 species
GACGAACGCUGGCGGCGUGCUUAACACAUGCAAGUCGAACGGAAAGGCCCUGCUUUUGUGGGGUGCUCGAGUGGCGAACGGGUGAGUAACACGUGAGUAACCUGCCCUUGACUUUGGGAUAACUUCAGGAAACUGGGGCUAAUACCGGAUAGGAGCUCCUGCUGCAUGGUGGGGGUUGGAAAGUUUCGGCGGUUGGGGAUGGACUCGCGGCUUAUCAGCUUGUUGGUGGGGUAGUGGCUUACCAAGGCUUUGACGGGUAGCCGGCCUGAGAGGGUGACCGGCGACAAUGGGACUGAGAUACGGCCCAGACUCGUACGGGAGGCAACAGUGGGAAGUAUGGCACAGUGGGCGGACGCCUGAUGCGGCAACGCCGCGUGCGUGAUGACGUGCUACGGGUGGUAAACCGCUUUCGCAGGUGACGAAGCGUGAGUGACGGUAAUGGGUAAGGAAGCACCGGCUAACUACGUG